rnacentral:misc_RNA from 1 species
GCUUCCUUCAGCAAGUCAAACACCUUCUCAGCAAUAUAUUUUUGUUGAAGAUUGGCACCCUUUUGUUGGACUUUAUCAGGAUGGAUGCACAAAGUUGCCUUUCUAUAAACUUUCUUAACAGCAGCAGCAGUAAUCAAAUCGGUCAAGGAAACAGGCUGCCAACCGCAUUCAGGCCAUAGCACAUAUUGCAACGUUGAUAGAAGAGCACGUAGAU